rnacentral:rRNA from 1 species
GAUGAACGCUGGCGGCGUGCCUAAUACAUGCAGUCGCGCGAACGGACGAGAAGCUUGCUUCUCUGAUGUUAGCGGCGGACGGGUGAGUAACACGUGGAUAACCUACCUAUAAGACUGGGAUAACUUCGGGAAACCGGAGCUAAUACCGGAUAAUAUUUUGAACCGCAUGGUUCAAAAGUGAAAGACGGUCUUGCUGUCACUUAUAGAUGGAUCCGCGCUGCAUUAGCUAGUUGGUAAGGUAACGGCUUACCAAGGCAACGAUGCAUAGCCGACCUGAGAGGGUGAUCGGCCACACUGGAACUGAGACACGGUCCAGACUCCUACGGGAGGCAGCAGUAGGGAAUCUUCCGCAAUGGGCGAAAGCCUGACGGAGCAACGCCGCGUGAGUGAUGAAGGUCUUCGGAUCGUAAAACUCUGUUAUUAGGGAAGAACAUAUGUGUAAGUAACUGUGCACAUCUUGACGGUACCUAAUCAGAAAGCCACGGCUAACUACGUG